AUUGAACGCUGGCGGCAGGCUUAACACAUGCAAGUCGAGCGGGGUGAUGGUGCUUGCACUAUCACUUAGCGGCGGACGGGUGAGUAAUGCUUAGGAAUCUGCCUAUUAGUGGGGGACAACAUCUCGAAAGGGAUGCUAAUACCGCAUACGUCCUACGGGAGAAAGCAGGGGAUCACUUGUGACCUUGCGCUAAUAGAUGAGCCUAAGUCGGAUUAGCUAGUUGGUGGGGUAAAGGCCUACCAAGGCGACGAUCUGUAGCGGGUCUGAGAGGAUGAUCCGCCACACUGGGACUGAGACACGGCCCAGACUCCUACGGGAGGCAGCAGUGGGGAAUAUUGGACAAUGGGGGGAACCCUGAUCCAGCCAUGCCGCGUGUGUGAAGAAGGCCUUUUGGUUGUAAAGCACUUUAAGCGAGGAGGAGGCUCUUUUGGUUAAUACCCAAGAUGAGUGGACGUUACUCGCAGAAUAAGCACCGGCUAACUCUGUGCCAGCCGCCGCGGUAA
rnacentral:rRNA from 1 species